GACGAACGCUGGCGGCGUGCUUAACACAUGCAAGUCGAACGGAAAGGCCCUGCUUUUGUGGGGUGCUCGAGUGGCGAACGGGUGAGUAACACGUGAGUAACCUGACCUUGACUUUGGGAUAACUUCAGGAAACUGGGGCUAAUACCGGAUAGGAGCUCCUGCUGCAUGGUGGGGGUUGGAAAGGUUCGGAGGUUGGGGAUGGACGCGGGGCGUGUCAGGUUGUUGGUGGGGUAGUGGGUUACCAAGGCUUUGACGGGUAGCCGGCCUGAGAGGGUGACCGGCCAGGUUGGGACUGAGAUGCGGGCCAGACUCGUGCGGGAGGGAGCAGUGGGGAAUAGUGUACAAUGGGCGGAAGCCUGAUGCAGCAACGCCGUGUGCGGGAUGACGGCCUUCGGGUUGUAAACCGCUUUCGCCUGUGACGAAGCGGGAGUGACGGUAAUGGGUAAAGAAGCACCGGCUAACUACGUG
rnacentral:rRNA from 1 species